UGGGGAAUUUUGGACAAUGGGCGCAAGCUUGAUCCAGCCAUGCCGCGUGAGUGAAGAAGGCCUUCGGGUUGUAAAGCUCUUUCAGACGGAAAGAAACGGUCUUGGUUAAUACCUGAGGCUAAUGACGGUACCGUCAGAAGAAGCACCGGCUAACUAC
rnacentral:rRNA from 1 species